rnacentral:rRNA from 1 species
GGGACACGUGGUAUCCUGUCUGAAUAUGGGGGGACCAUCCUCCAAGGCUAAAUACUCCUGACUGACCGAUAGUGAACCAGUACCGUGAGGGAAAGGCGAAAAGAACCCCGGCGAGGGGAGUGAAAAAGAACCUGAAACCGUGUACGUACAAGCAGUAGGAGCCCACUGGUUGGGUGACUGCGUACCUUUUGUAUAAUGGGUCAGCGACUUAUAUUCUGUAGCAAGGUUAACCGUAUAGGGGAGCCGCAGGGAAACCGAGUCUUAACUGGGCGUUAAGUUGCAGGGUAUAGACCCGAAACCCGGUGAUCUAGCCAUGGGCAGGUUGAAGGUUGGGUAACACUAACUGGAGGACCGAACCGACUAAUGUUGAAAAAUUAGCGGAUGACUUGUGGCUGGGGGUGAAAGGCCAAUCAAACCGGGAGAUAGCUGGUUCUCCCCGAAAGCU